rnacentral:rRNA from 1 species
CCUACGGGGUGCAGCAGUGAGGAAUAUUGGUCAAUGGACGAGAGUCUGAACCAGCCAAGUAGCGUGAAGGAUGACUGCCCUAUGGGUUGUAAACUUCUUUUAUAUGGGAAUAAAAUGUUCCACGUGUGGGAUUUUGUAUGUACCAUAUGAAUGAGGAUCGGCUAACUCCGUGCCAGCAGCCGCGGUAAUACGGAGGAUCCGAGCGUUAUCCGGAUUUAUUGGGUUUAAAGGGAGCGUAGGUGGAUUGUUAAGUCAGUUGUGAAAGUUUGCGGCUCAACCGUAAAAUUGCAGUUGAAACUGGCAGUCUUGAGUACAGUAGAGGUGGGCGGAAUUCGUGGUGUAGCGGUGAAAUGCUUAGAUAUCACGAAGAACUCCGAUUGCGAAGGCAGUUCACUGGACUGCAACUGACACUGAGGCUCGAAAGUGUGGGUAUCAAACAGGAUUAGAUACCCCAGUAGUC